rnacentral:pre_miRNA from 1 species
GGGCUCUAUAUUUGUAUUUUUUGGCUCCGGACAUUUAUGUACAAUUUGAACGUCAUAAAUGUUUGCAGCAUAGAUAGAAUUAUUAGCCC